rnacentral:rRNA from 1 species
AUUGAACGCUGGCGGCAUGCCUUACACAUGCAAGUCGAACGGUAACAGGUCUUCGGAUGCUGACGAGUGGCGAACGGGUGAGUAAUACAUCGGAACGUGCCCGAUCGUGGGGGAUAACGCAGCGAAAGCUGUGCUAAUACCGCAUACGAUCUACGGAUGAAAGCGGGGGAUCGCAAGACCUCGCGCGAUUGGAGCGGCCGAUAUCAGAUUAGCUAGUUGGUGGGGUAAAGGCCCACCAAGGCGACGAUCUGUAGCUGGUCUGAGAGGACGACCAGCCACACUGGAACUGAGACACGGUCCAGACUCCUACGGGAGGCAGCAGUGGGGAAUUUUGGACAAUGGGCGCAAGCCUGAUCCAGCAAUGCCGCGUGCAGGAUGAAGGCCUUCGGGUUGUAAACUGCUUUUGUACGGAACGAAACGGCUCCUUCUAAUACAAGGGGCUAAUGACGGUACCGUAAGAAUAAGCACCGGCUAACUACGUGCCAGCAGCCGCGGUAAUAC